rnacentral:misc_RNA from 1 species
GCAAACUUGGUCAUUUAGAGGAAGUAAAAGUCGUAACAAGGUCUCCGUUGGUGAACCAGCGGAGGGAUCAUUACCGAGUUGACAACUCCCAAACCCAUGUGAACAUACCUGUCUUGUUGCUUCGGCGGGCGCCCCCGGGCUCGGGGGGCCCGCCAGAGGACCCAAACAAACUCUUUGCAUUUUUUUUCUCUCCUGAAUUACAUCUGAGUGGCAUGAUUAAAUCAAAUCAAAACUUUCAACAACGGAUCUCUUGGCUCUGGCAUCGAUGAAGAACGCAGC